CCAACGUCACUGCUAUACUUUUCCGAAUUAGGUCUUUGGAAGAACCAACAACAAUGCGGGAUCCUCUAUACACAGAGUCAAUUCCCUGCAGCCGUCACUGCUGUCGGGAUCGACGCUGUAGCUACACACAGAGUCUAAGAAAGUCAAGUGGAGGAAAUAUACUCAGACAUGCUAGUCCCUACUUAGUCUCAAUAUAUUUCUUUCAGUGAAAUUCCUACACAGUCAAAAUCAGUAUUUCAUAAAGAUUCUAUCUUUAAGAAAUACUAAUUUUUCCGGGGUGGCGUUACAGUGCAGCUUUAGGCUUCAAACUUUUUUGUCAUGGUUUUCCCCGAUGUAAGCCAACAUUCCCAUAGUUUUGUAUUCUUGUAUCUUGCCUAUACUGCCUACACAACCUUGUAUCCUAACUAUUGUGU